AUGGAGCCGCUUCAGAGGCUGUUGGACUUAGCCGUCCGUGAUGGGCUGCUUUCCAAGUUGAAGGGGAGAAUUCCAAGCCUACGAACCUCUCUCUACGCGGACGACGUUGCUCUUUUCUUAAACCCCGUCCGACAGGAGGUUCAAGCCAUCCGGCAGAUCCUGCAGGCCUUUGGGCAGGCCACGGGGCUUCAAGUAAAUUUCUCCAAGAGCAAGGCCAUCCCAAUCCACCCCGAGCUCUUCGAUGUGGAUGAUAUCAUACAGCCGCUUGGGGCUGCACGCGCCGCCCUGCCGUGCUGUUUUUUGGGCCUCCCUCUGUCCCUUCGCAAGGUUCGCAAAGCUGAACUGCAGCCGUUGCUGGACAAGAUCUUGGCCCGAUUGGCUGCAUGGAAAUUCAAGCUUUUCACUGCCGUCGGCCGUCUCGUGCUACUGAACUCCGUUAUCUCGGCGCUGGCCGUAUAUUGGCUAUCAGUUCACCAGUUACCAGCCUGGGUGAGGCGUCAGAUCGACAAAAUCAGGAGGGCUUGGCUCUGGCGUGGACAGGAAAGCUGCCCUGGAGGGCACUACAAGGUUGCAUCGGGCAGGAUAUGCAGGCCUAAAGAACUCGGUGGGCCGGGCAUCAUCGACCUUGACCGCUUCGGCAUUGCGCUCAGGCUGAGAUGGCUUUGGUGGGAGAAGACGACCCCCUACAAGCCUUGGAUCGGUCUU
rnacentral:rRNA from 1 species